rnacentral:snRNA from 1 species
GUGCUCACUUUGUCAGCACAUAUACUAAAAUUAGAAUGAUAUAGAGAUUAGCAUGGCACCUGUGCAAGGAUAUAUGAAAGUUUUUGAAGCAUACUAUAUUUUU